UUGUCGGCCAUGUUAGCAGGGAUGGGAAGGCAGCAGUGUGGAGGGUGCGCUGAUUGAAACAACCAGGAGUAGUAUAGUGAAUAGAGUACUGAUACCAUAGAUACCAUCAGAAGAGCAGGCAAUUGUGUGUGUUUGCAUUUAAAAAUCUUGCGCGAGACAAUUAUCUCGCGAAGCCAUUCCAUCGCAUCCUUCAUCAAAACUUCUCGGUUAUCAUGGCUAACCGGGGCACGGUGGCCCAGAGACCAAACGGUACUCAAGGCAAAAUCUGCCAAUUCAAAUUGGUCUUGCUGGGAGAAUCUGCGGUCGGGAAGUCCAGUUUGGUGCUAAGGUUUGUUAAAGGACAAUUCCACGAAUAUCAAGAAAGUACGAUAGGAGCUGCAUUUUUAACACAGACAGUAUGUCUGGAUGACACGACUGUGAAAUUUGAGAUUUGGGAUACCGCGGGCCAGGAACGUUAUCACAGUCUUGCUCCAAUGUAUUAUCGUGGUGCUCAGGCUGCUAUUGUUGUAUAUGACAUACAAAAUCAAGACACAUUUACACGAGCGACAAACUGGGUAAAAGAACUUCAACGACAAGCAAGCCCAAGCAUAGUAAUAGCCCUAGCAGGCAAUAAAGCUGAUUUGGCAAAUAAACGUGUAGUAGAUUAUGAAGAAGCUCAAUCCUAUGCAGAUGCAAAUGGUUUACUGUUCAUGGAAACGUCUGCAAAAACUGCCAUGAACGUGAAUGACAUUUUCCUAGCGAUCGCUAAAAAACUCCCAAAGAAUGAGCAAUCGGGAAAUGCAGGUACAAGUGGUCAAGGUCGUCGAUUAGUUGAAUCUGAAGGACAGAAAGCUGCGACAAGCAACUGCUGCAAGUGAUUGGCCAAAUUCGUAGGUGUCGCGCGUCUUCAUAUCGAUAUUUAUCUAUUGUGUAUUUGUCAAGGUGACAAAUACUUUGUGUCAACUGGUCCCCAUUGAAUUCAUAAGAGAAGUGAGCAUCUGAGAAACAUUGAACCACAUGGGGUGUGUUGUAUUACCGGGCAUACGGUGGCAAAUUUAACGUAAAAAAAUCAUAAUGGCUGCUGCGAUUAACAAUAACGUGGAUAAGAAAUAAUCAAGACGACGCCGACAGUUACCGCGACAAUUAUGACCGAUCCAUUAGUUAAACGAGACUUUUUAAGUGCAAAAUAAAAUAACAGAAUAAAGAAAAAAAUAAGUGUGUGAGUAUGCGGCUAAACUCGGGGGUAUUUGUGAAAGUAAUAAUCAGUAUGUCACAAUGCAUCCGACAGCGAUAACACCUAUUUUGAGUAUCGGGUCUGUUGGAAGAGAAAAAAAAGAGGCGAUGAGUCCCGUUUGUUAUUUUAGUAGUAAUGGGCGGUGUUCGUUAUAAAUAUAUAAAUAUUAUAUAAAUACAUUAUAUAUUAUAAAUCAUAUAUAUGAUAUGAUUUAUGUAAGGAUUAAUAAUUGAUGAUAAUGAAGAGGAUGAUGGAAAUAUUACAAUUUUAUGUGUACGGUAAAUAGUUAUGAAUUGAGAAAAACUUAAAAAAAUGAACUUUUUUGGCACGCAACAUAAAAACUUGUAAGAUAGUAGGGGCCAUUCCUGCUGCUAUAAUUAUCAUAUAUAUUUUCUUCGUCAGAUUGUAUCGUGUAAUAACAAUUAUAACUUUAAAGCAUAUUGUAUAUUAAUUUUAUUGAUAAAUCAUGGUAAAUUAUAAAUAAUUAUACAAAAAAAGCGACAAAUCAAGCUUUAAAUUUGCUCGAUUUGACCGUUUUUAACUCAAAACUUUUUUUAACCAAAAUUUAAAUUUGUUCAGUUCUUUAUUAUUAUUAUUAUUUUUUAAGUAUCUACUUAUGAAUUCAUAUGAAGAGAAAGUAUGUUAUGUUGAAAAUUUUAAACGUUAAUUGUUUUUCAAAUAGAAGCUGAUGAUAAACCAACGAUUAUAUUUUAAAGAAAACAUUAUCUCUAUCAAAUAUUUAUUACUCUGUAAAUUACCAAGAUUUUUGUAGACUUAAAAAAAUUCAAGAUAAUUCAAUAUUUCAAACCCUAAAUGAUUCAUUAUAGCACCUAAAUUGUGUAUUGAACUAUUUCUUACUCAUCAAGACAUCGUUAAAAUUAAAAAUCCAAUAUACAUUCAAGCUAAAUGAUGUUAAACAUCUUAUUGGUAUAAUGACUCUUAUCACUUCAACACCAAAAUCAUCGUGUCAUUCUGAUAAACUUUCCGGGAAUUAUGAAUUAACAACAGAUGGUUUUUCUCAAAUUAUGGGUUUUACUUGCUAUUAUUUCCUGUUCUAUUCCUAUUAUACUACAAAAGGAACCGUUGAUUUAUUCUAUCAAUUAUAACUGAAUAACAUUCACACGACGUAAGUUCAUCAUUUAUAUUAAUAAUUAAAACAUUCUAUUAUCAUUUUUUACGCUUGUUGAUACCUCAAGUAAUUAUUUACAAGUUAAAAUAUUCCGCAGUGAAAGCUUUAUCUCUAUCAAGUUAUUUUUUUUUCUUCAUUACCGGAAUUUUUUUUUACACAGAUUAUUUUUUUCUUCACUACUACCAAUUC